UACGUAGGGAGCGAGCGUUGUCCGGAAUCAUUGGGCGUAAAGAGCGUGUAGGCGGCUUGGUAGGUCCGCUGUGAAAACUCGAGGCUCAACCUCGAGAUGUCGGCGGAAACCACUUGGCUAGAGUCCGGAAGAGGAGAGUGGAAUUCCUGGUGUAGCGGUGAAAUGCGCAGAUAUCAGGAAGAACACCUAUGGCGAAGGCAGCUCUCUGGGACGGUACUGACGCUGAGACGCGAAAAGCGUGGGG
rnacentral:rRNA from 1 species